ACAGGUGGUCAGGUAGAGAAUACUCAGGCGCUUGAGAGAACUCGGGUGAAGGAACUAGGCAAAAUGGUGCCGUAACUUCGGGAGAAGGCACGCUGGCGCUAGGUGAAGUGGUUUACCCAUGGAGCUGAAGCCAGUCGCAGAUACCAGCUGGCUGCAACUGUUUAUUAAAAACACAGCACUGUGCAAACACGAAAGUGGACGUAUACGGUGUGACGCCUGCCCGGUGC
rnacentral:rRNA from 1 species